rnacentral:rRNA from 1 species
CCCCUAGAUGUUCUGGGCCGCACGCGCGCUACACUGAACAGUUCAACAAGUCUUAACCUUGGCCGAUAGGUCUGGGUAAUCUUUGAACGCUGUUCGUGAUUGGGAUAGACCUUUGCAAUUAUGGGUCUUCAACGAGGAAUUCCUAGUAAACGCAAGUCAUCAGCUUGCAUUGAUUACGUCCCUGCCCUUUGUACACACCGCCCGUCGCACCUACCGAUUGAAUGGUCCGGUGAAAUCUCGGGACGGCGGCUUGGUCGCUUGCGUCCGACUGCUGAAACUUGAUUAAACCAUAUCAUUUAGAGGAAGGUGAANUCGUAGCA